rnacentral:rRNA from 1 species
CAGCAGCCGCGGUAAUACGUAGGGUGCAAGCGUUAAUCGGAAUUACUGGGCGUAAAGCGUGCGCAGGCGGUUAUAUAAGACAGAUGUGAAAUCCCCGGGCUCAACCUGGGAACUGCAUUUGUGACUGUAUAGCUAGAGUACGGCAGAGGGGGAUGGAAUUCCGCGUGUAGCAGUGAAAUGCGUAGAUAUGCGGAGGAACACCGAUGGCGAAGGCAAUCCCCUGGGCCUGUACUGACGCUCAUGCACGAAAGCGUGGGGAGCAAACAGGAUUAGAUACCCCUGUAGUCCCUGUCUCUUAUAU